rnacentral:ribozyme from 15 species
UCUUUGGUACUUUUCUUUAUCUCUAGCUUGGUCUCUAUGAUCCAUAUAAAAAAGGAAAGAACAGAAAGUCCAUAAUAUAAAGGAUAAACCAAAAGUCAAUGAGUAACAG